rnacentral:misc_RNA from 1 species
AUCGUGACUCAAGCUGAGCUUAGCAAAGGUAGAUGAACUCAACUCUUGGCAAACUGAAGGUACAUGAACUCAACUGUCUCACCAAAUGAGAGAUCAUUGUUCUAUUUUGAUUGACAUUAUUGCCACAGAUGCUUGAGGAUAUUUCAUGGAUGAAGCUUCAUUUGCUCAAAUCUUUCAGUAGUAUCUUAUACUUUUGACUAGUCUUCCUUUGACAUGGUGAUAACAGACAGUUAAGGCACUGCUACAAAAAUUGUGGUCUAGGCCUCACAAUAAAGAGAAUAAUGAUGACUAAACGAGGUCUAGGCCUCACAAUACAGGGAAUAAUGAUGACUAAACGAGGUGUAAGCCUCAGUUCAUCAGUCUGCAAUCUUAACAAGAUAGGAGUAACAAAAACCCUUCUCACUCUAGCUACUCAUGCACUUAAAAAAUUAUUGUAAAUUGUUAAUCAAGAGGUAGUUUGUUUCUCAAAUUGUAUAGUAACACAUCUAUUAAUUGGUUGGUAGUCUUCUGCCUUGAGAAAACAACCAGAGACAAAUAACUUGAUUUGAUUAUCCAUGUACGA